rnacentral:rRNA from 1 species
UACGUAGGGUGCAAGCGUUAAUCGGAAUUACUGGGCGUAAAGCGUGCGCAGGCGGUGCUGUAAGACAGGUGUGAAAUCCCCGGGCUUAACCUGGGAACUGCAUUUGUGACUGCAUCGCUGGAGUGCGGCAGAGGGGGAUGGAAUUCCGCGUGUAGCAGUGAAAUGCGUAGAUAUGCGGAGGAACACCGAUGGCGAAGGCAAUCCCCUGGGCCUGCACUGACGCUCAUGCACGAAAGCGUGGGGAGCAAAAGGG